UGGGGAAUUUUGGACAAUGGGCGAAAGCCUGAUCCAGCAAUGCCGCGUGUGUGAAGAAGGCCUUCGGGUUGUAAAGCACUUUUGUCCGGAAAGAAAUCCUCUGGGUUAAUACCUCGGGGGGAUGACGGUACCGGAAGAAUAAGCACCGGCUAACUACGUGCCAGCAGCCGCGGUAAUACGUAGGGUGCAAGCGUUAAUCGGAAUUACUGGGCGUAAAGCGUGCGCAGGCGGUUUUGUAAGACGGAUGUGAAAUCCCCGGGCUUAACCUGGGAACUGCAUUCGUGACUGCAAGGCUAGAGUAUGGCAGAGGGGGGUAGAAUUCCACGUGUAGCAGUGAAAUGCGUAGAGAUGUGGAGGAAUACCGAUGGCGAAGGCAGCCCCCUGGGCCAAUACUGACGCCCAUGCACGAAAGCGUGGGGAGCAAACAGGAUUAGAUACCCUGGUAGUCCACGCCCUAAACGAUGUCAACUAGUUGUUGGGGAUUCAUUUCCUUAGUAACGUAGCUAACGCGUGAAGUUGACCGCCUGGGGAGUACGGUCGCAAGAUUAAAACUCAAAGGAAUUGACGGGG
rnacentral:rRNA from 1 species